rnacentral:rRNA from 1 species
UACGGGGGGAGCAAGCGUUGUUCGGAUUUACUGGGCGUAAAGGGCGCGUAGGCGGUCAGCACAAGUCAGUUGUGAAAUCUCCGGGCUUAACUCGGAAAGGUCAACUGAUACUGUGCGACUAGAGUGCAGAAGGGGCAACUGGAAUUCUCGGUGUAGCGGUGAAAUGCGUAGAUAUCGAGAGGAACACCAGUGGCGAAGGCGAGUCCCUGGACAACUCCUGACACUGAGGCACGAAAGCUAGGGGAGCAAACAGG